GUCCACGCCGUAAACGAUGGGUACUAGGCGUCGGGGGGCGGACCCCUCCGGUGCCGUCGCUAACGCAGUAAGUACCCCGCCUGGGGAGUACGGUCGCAAGACUGAAACUCAAAGGAAUUGACGGGGGCCCGCACAAGCGGUGGAGCAUGUGGUUUAAUUCGAAGCAACGCGAAGAACCUUACCUGGGCUUGACAUGCACGGGAAAGCCGGUGGAAACAUCGGCCCCUCUUCGGAGCUCGUGCACAGGUGCUGCAUGGGCUGUCGU
rnacentral:rRNA from 1 species